rnacentral:rRNA from 1 species
GACGGAGGGUGCAAACGUUGUUCGGAAUCACUGGGCAUAAAGCGCACGUAGGCGGUCCGCCAAGUCAGGUGUGAAAGCCCUCGGCUCAACCGAGGAAUUGCACUUGAAACUAGCGGGCUAGAGAACGGUAGGGGUGAGCGGAACUCCAGGUGGAGCGGUGAAAUGCGUAGAUAUCUGGAGGAACACCGGUGGCGAAAGCGGCUCACUGGACCGUCACUGACGCUGAGGUGCGAAAGCCAGGGGAGCAAACGGG